rnacentral:rRNA from 1 species
GACGAACGCUGGCGGCGUGCUUAACACAUGCAAGUCGAACGGAAAGGCCCUGCUUUUGUGGGGUGCUCGAGUGGCGAACGGGUGAGUAACACGUGAGUAACCUGCCCUUGACUUUGGGAUAACUUCAGGAAACUGGGGCUAAUACCGGAUAGGAGCUCCUGCUGCAUGGUGGGGGUUGGAAAGUUUCGGCGGUUGGGGAUGGACUCGCGGCUUAUCAGCUUGUUGGUGGGGUAGUGGCUUACCAAGGCUUUGACGGGUAGCCGGCCUGAGAGGGUGACCGGCCACAUUGGGAAUGGGAUACGGGCCCAGCUCCUAAGGGGGGCAGGAGGGGGGAAUAUUGCACCAUGGGCGGAAGCCUGAUGCAGCAACGCCGCGGGCGGGAUGACGGCCUUCGGGUUGGAAACCGCUUUCGCCUGGGACGAAGGGUGGGUGACGGUAAUGGGUAAAGAAGCAACGGCUAAAUACGUG